GGGGAUAGCCCGGAGAAAUUCGGAUUAAUACCCCAUAAUGAUAUCGGAAGGCAUCUUUUGAUAUUUAAAGUUUCGACGGUACGGGAUGGGCAUGCGUGACAUUAGCUAGUUGGUAGGGUAACGGCCUACCAAGGCUACGAUGUCUAGGGGUCCUGAGAGGGUGAUCCCCCACACUGGUACUGAGACACGGACCAGACUCCUACGGGAGGCAGCAGUGAGGAAUAUUGGUCAAUGGGCGUAAGCCUGAACCAGCCAUCCCGCGUGCAGGAAGAAGGCGCUAUGCGUCGUAAACUGCUUUUCCAGGGGAAGAAAACCCGAUACGUGUAUCGGCUUGCCGGUACCCUGGGAAUAAGCAUCGGCUAACUCCGUGCCAGCAGCCGCGGUAAUACGGAGGAUGCGAGCGUUAUCCGGAUUUAUUGGGUUUAAAGGGUGCGUAGGCGGAUUAAUAAGUCAGUGGUGAAAACCUUCAGCUUAACUGGAGACUUGCCAUUGAUACUGUUAGUCUUGAGUACGGUCAAGGUAGGCGGAAUGUGUAAUGUAGCGGUGAAAUGCUUAGAUAUUACACAGAACACCGAUUGCGAAGGCAGCUUACUGGGCCAUUACUGACGCUGAUGCACGAAAGCGUGGGGAGCGAACAGGAUUAGAUACCCUGGUAGUCCACGCCGUAAACGAUGAUCACUCGCUGUUAGCGAUACACAGUUAGCGGCUAAGCAAAAGC
rnacentral:rRNA from 1 species